rnacentral:rRNA from 1 species
ACCUGCCCUAUGAAUAAUUUAUUUUAAAUGGCUGCGGUAUUUUGACCGUGCAAAGGUAGCAUAAUAAUUAGUUUCUUAAUUGGGAACUGGAAUGAAUGGUUGAACGAGAAAAAUACUGUCUCAAUUUAAUUUAAAUUAGAAUUUUAUUUUUAAGUUAAAAAGCUUAAAUAUACUUAAAAGACGAGAAGACCCUAUAGAGUUUUAUAUUAAUUAUUAUAAUUGAAAGUUAAAGUAUUUUAGAUUUAAUUAUAAUAAUUAAUAUUUGGUUGGGGUGAUUAAAAAAUUUAAUAAACUUUUUUUAAAUAAAACCAUUGAUUUAUGAUUUAGUGAUCCAUAUUUUAUGAUUAAAAGAUU